UACGGAGGGGGUUAGCGUUGUUCGGAAUUACUGGGCGUAAAGCGCGCGUAGGCGGAUUAGAAAGUUGGGGGUGAAAUCCCGGGGCUCAACCUCGGAACUGCCUCCAAAACUGCUAGUCUAGAGUUCGAGAGAGGUGAGUGGAAUUCCGAGUGUAGAGGUGAAAUUCGUAGAUAUUCGGAGGAACACCAGUGGCGAAGGCGGCUCACUGGCUCGAUACUGACGCUGAGGUGCGAAAGUGUGGGGAGCAAACAGC
rnacentral:rRNA from 1 species